rnacentral:rRNA from 1 species
GAUGAACGCUGGCGGCGUGCCUAAUACAUGCAAGUCGAGCGAACAGACGAGGAGCUUGCUCCUCUGACGUUAGCGGCGGACGGGUGAGUAACACGUGGAUAACCUACCUAUAAGACUGGGAUAACUUCGGGAAACCGGAGCUAAUACCGGAUAAUAUAUUGAACCGCAUGGUUCAAUAGUGAAAGACGGUUUUGCUGUCACUUAUAGAUGGAUCCGCGCCGCAUUAGCUAGUUGGUAAGGUAACGGCUUACCAAGGCAACGAUGCGUAGCCGACCUGAGAGGGGGAUCGGCCACACUGGACCUGAGACACGGUCCAGACUCCUACGGGAGGCAGCAGUAGGGAAUCUUCCGCAAUGGGCGAAAGCCUGACGGAGCAACGCCGCGUGAGUGAUGAAGGUCUUCGGAUCGUAAAACUCUGUUAUUAGGGAAGAACAAAUGUGUAAGUAACUAUGCACGUCUUGACGGUACCUAAUCAGAAAGCCACGGCUAACUACGU